ensembl:rRNA 5S_rRNA 5S ribosomal RNA
GUCUACGGCCAUACCACCCUGAACGCGCCCGAUCUCGUCUGAUCUCGGAAGCUAAGCAGGGUCGGGCCUGGUUAGUACUUGGAUGGGAGGAGGGCACCUGUUGGGAUGAGCACUGGGUGUUGUAUGGA